AGGUCAGUUGGGUUAUGAGGUCAGCAAUCCUUCAACCUUUGAUUGAACAGGCCUGCCUUAGUACCAGGACGCUUGAUCGAGGCAUCGAGGAAUCUGUACGGUCAAGCACGUAGGUCGAAAAAUCAAGAGCUCAAUAGGUCGGUCAGGGUACCAGGUCGGCAAGCCUUCAACCAGGACGACAAGCAUUCAAAAUUGAAUUUUGUACAAGCUGACAAUGCUACCCGAUCGGCAGAUCUCAAGAGAAGGCUAAACAGGUUGGGUCCUCGACAACCAUUUUGCUAAAGCCCUAAAAAAAAAAGAAGAAGAAGAGAAAAGAAGAAACCUAAAACCAGCCAGCCACCAACCAAGCUAGGUGACGGGGGCUCGUAACCCAAGGGGGUGGGUCCAAAAGGGAGGCCUGCUCAAGCAAGUUCUGCAAAGUAAGCAGCGUCAACGCUCGGCCAGCCUAUAACCCCUCCACAAAUUCAUGCACACAAUUGAUUUAGUGGCGCGGCGAGCGACUCUCACCACCUGAAGAGAGGGAAUUUCUUUCUCUCUCUGAGUAAAAUCGGGAUGGUGGGCUCGGCUAAAUUUCUGGCACGC
rnacentral:lncRNA from 1 species